UUCGGGGUGCGUUUGGGGAAGCUUAGCGGCGGACGGUGAGUAACGCGUGAGUAACCUGCCUGUAAGAGGGGGAUAACACAGAGAAAUUUGUGCUAAUACCGCAUAUUGAAUAACAUUCGCAUGUUUGUUAUUUGAAAGAUUUAUCGCUGUGAGAUGAGCUCGCGUCUGAUUAGCUAGUUGGUGGGGUAACGGCCUACCAAGGCGACGAUCAGUAGCCGGACUGAGAGGUUGAACGGCCACAUUGGGACUGAGACACGGCCCAGACUCCUACGGGAGGCAGCAGUGGGGAAUAUUGCGCAAGUGGGGGAAACCCUGACGCAGCAACGCCGCGUGAAGGAAGAAGGCCUUCGGGUUAGUAAACUUUUGUCUUCUGGGAAGAUAAUGACAGUACCAGGGGAGGAAGCUCCGGCUAACUACGUG
rnacentral:rRNA from 1 species